GCACGUUGGGCCCCAUUCCGUGGGCUGCAGAUCGAUCCACGCCAAGCAACGGGGACGUGGA
rfam:Synechococcus sp. RS9916 scf_1100013018508 genomic scaffold, whole genome shotgun sequence.